UGCAGGACUCUUUCCCCAGGGAUGUUGCUGGUGAUAAUGUGUUAUCUCAAGACAUGUUUCCUGUUAGUAGCACAAGGAUGUCAGGCCCAGCACCGCUUUAGCAGAGGAGGGAGCCUCUGUGACCACAGCGUUGGCAGAGACCCACCGGCAGAGAGGACAGGUCAACGGCAGAACAGAGGGAUGAGGACUCGCCUGGGCUGCCUGUCUCACAAAUCAGACUCAUAUAAUGAUUUCACAGCUAUUCUUCCGGACAAGCCCAACCGGGCUUUGAAAAGACUGUCAACAGAAGAAGCAACAAGAUGGGCAGACUCCUUCGAUGUCCUUUUAUCCCAUAAAUAUGGGCUGGCCGCUUUCCGUGCUUUCCUGAAGACAGAGUUCAGCGAGGAGAACCUCGAGUUCUGGCUCGCCUGCGAGGACUUCAAGAAGACCCGCUCGGCGGCCAAGCUGGCCUCCAAGGCCCAGCGGAUCUUUGAGGAGUUCAUCGAUGUGCAGGCUCCUCGAGAGGUGAACAUAGACUUCCAGACUCGGGAGCUGACAAGAAGAAACAUGCAGGAGCCCUCCCUCUCUUGCUUUGACCAAGCUCAGGGGAAGGUGCACAGCCUGAUGGAAAAAGACUCUUAUCCCAGGUUCCUGAGAUCCAAAAUUUACACAGACCUGCUAUCUCAAACCCAGAGGAGGCUCAGCUAGAACAGCGAUGGGGCCCUCAGAAACCAUGUGCUUCCUACAACAGCAGCAACCCAUGUCUAAAUGUGAAACUUUCUUGGUGUUAAAAGCAGUGGGGAUAAGAAACGAGGGAGGAGAGGAAGAGGAGGCUUCCAGAGCGUGAUCUGAAUGUGGAAUUAGGACUUUUUGAAUUUCUGUGCUUUUUUGGUUAGCAGUAGCAUCUUGCAGUUGUUGCCUCUCUCUAGCACAAAACCCUAUCCUCUCUAGUCAUGGGGUCAUCUGUUGGGAAGGCAGGUUUCCUUUAAAAUUACUGCAUUGGUUUGUCUGUAAAUAAUGUCUCUGCACCUUCCCAUCCUUCCAGACACCUCACUGGCUCUCACCUGUCCCUGUGUUUGGAAGGGCCCUAAGGGCAGCUCUGAAACUUGUGUAGCCAAGUACGAUCCAAAGCACCGUCCCCUACGCUGGCUGCUGGGGUCUGGAUCCUGAGGCCAUGAGGAGGCAGAUAGGGUGGGAGUGAGAAGACAAAGGCACACGAUUCUUGCUGCUUCCCAGAGUGGAAACCAUCAGCAAACUCAGCUCACCUUCCCAUUUUGGUUGCAGACCUUGUGAUACCACAGCAGCUGACCUGUCACAGCCCCUCCGUGCCCUUGACUGCUUUUCUUCCAGGGGUGGAGACUAGAUGCUAUUUUUGCGUGACUGUCAAGGAGCUGAGUUUUUCUCAUGAGGGAGGUAACCCCAAAAGCUCUUGCUAGACCUGGUCUUCUAGUGCAAAUGUUUGUUUUUCAGUGAUAUUAUUUAUGUGUACUAUAGUUCAGCCUCAGGACCCCAGUCACUGUUAGGCUUCAUUGUGCUAGGCACCAUACCAAAACUUCACACAGAGAGGCUUUUGGCCACCACAGACUUUAACGACCUCAGUGGCGUCUCGGGAACGAACUGCCAGCCGUCGGGAAAGAGUUGGGAGAAUGAAUGUCCCAUCUGCCCCAUGCUGAGGUGUAAGAAAAGCACAAGAUCCAUCUGCCGUGUCAGGUAUCGUUUCUCAUCGUAGUACUUCACCAGCGCAUGGCAGGGAGAGGUAAUGUGAAAACACAACCUUAUUUUUGUUAUUUACUGAUUAUUGACUGUUGUUGUUACCUACCGAUUGUCCACUGUGGGUUCAGUGCAAUGUAAAGAAAUACUGAAGACACAGACCCUGCUGCAUGGUGCUUGCUUAAAAACAGGGUGCAGGGAAGCAUGCAGUGAGCAGGACGAGUGUCCGGGCGUGAAGUGGCGUGCAAAGUGUGCUUUGGCCCUAUUCCCACAGCCUGGAUACCAGCUGCAGGAGAGGGCUCUGCGCAGAUGUCAGUUGUGUAACACCACCUCUGUGCUGUGCAGUAAUUCCUUCCAUCUGAAUUUCUGCAGCAUCGCUUUCCCAGUUUAUCAGCUGUCAGAUUCUUGCGAUGUUUUCUAGAGGGGAAGUGGGUUGUCUGUGGGUUUAAGUCUACAGACCAGAGGUCUGUUUUCUUAGUUUUAGGAAGGUCUGGAAAGGGGCCUCAUGGAUCUUUUCCUUCUCUCCAUGGAGUCAUCCACAGAUCAGAGGGGCUGAUGAAGGAAAUAAUGACAAAGCCAAAGCUUUGGAGAGCACUGAGUGAUGACUAAUCCCCAUCGAGGACAAAUACCCUAUCUUUGAUUCAUCCCUUACUGAUGUGAAAGGGAUAUUCAGAACUUACAAACCCCAUUUUCCCUCUCCACAAGCACACACCUCCAAAAACGUGCUCCCACUUCAAGUAAUGUCAGAGAGUGCCAUCGUAUUAGAGAGGAAAUAAAAAAUGUUUCACUCAGCUCUUUUUAUUCUGUGUCUUUGCUGGCGUGUGCCCAGCCAGCUCUUAAGUCCUUUGACAGCAAAAGGGAAGAAGAAUUUUGCAAAUUGCUUUUCCCUACUCCAUAAACUUCAGGCGUCGUUCAGUCCAGAAGCAGAUGUGGAACCCAAAGCAGGUGCUUUGGCCAGGUUUGGGUUUAUUUCCGUGUUUUGCGGUACUUGUUAAUGUACUGAUGGGUCCACGCUGGGAAAGCGUGAGGGGCAAAGUCCUGCUGGCCUAAGCACAGGAGGGAAGGAGGUGUGUGUGCGCGUGGGUGUGGGUGGUGAGAGUGCAUGUGAAUUCACGUAUACGUUACUUAGUGUCUCCUACUAGAGAAGCUAUUCUGAGACAUAGAUGUGCAUGUUAAAAUAGGAGAAUUAGGCAUAAAUGACAUAAAAUGAGAUUUUAGCGGUGUUGUGUUUGCCUCUUGUGUAAGUUUGACUAGUAAUAGGAGAUGUACAACUCUGCUAGGCUUCCAAUUACCCAUAAGAGCACAUGUAUCAAACUGAACUGAAUGUUCACUGAUAGACACAAAACCAAAAUGUUUACAGCAUUCAGAGCAAUAGCAAAGCAUACCUCAUGCCAGUCCUGGAGUGCCUCUCACUUGUCCCUGCAAACUCCCCCCCACCGUGGGCCUCCUCCUUCUCCCUCCAAACCCCCUUCUUCUUCUCAGUCCUGUCCCUGUGGAUGUCCCUCCUCUUCCUCAUCUUCACCUCCCUGAAGCACUCCUGUCCAUGCCAGCCUUCCCCUCCACCAGCACUGCUUGAGCCCUGGGCUCUCACAGCCUCCCCUGCCCUCCUGGCUGCAUGCCCUCUGUCCCCAGGUGUCUGUCCGCCCUUCUUUUCCUUUUCCUUCCCCAGACUCCUGUCUUGCCAUCUCCCUCCUACAUACCUCCUACUGUUGCUCCUAGUAGCUAUUCCUUGCCCAUUAUAUAAGGAGAAAACGCUUCACCUAAUUUAUGCACCACCUUUCCUUCCUGGGGCUGCUGCAGUUGUCUUGUUCCUUGGUACUGUGUUUUCUCUGGCACGGAAGCGUUUUAUCACAGAGCCGGGAUUAAUGUACAUGUCGUUGCCAGACCAGAGAGUGCUUUUCUCUACCGUGCACCCCCUGGGCUUUUCAGAGGCUCGGCUUGUCCCCAGUGUUGUGUCUUUGUCCUCUGUUCGUGCUCCAUGUGCUGUGUUUGCGGCAGGGGCUGGCUAGGUGAGACGGCAGCUGUGCUCCGCGCUGCACGCUGGGGCAUGGAAUCGGAGCUGCCUCGGCAGGGUCGCAGCUGUGCUUCCUCUUAGCUUCCUGAUUAAAAAAAAAUAGAGUAAAUAAAGGUGUGCGCCUUGUAUUUGCUUAGUGAAGUCAGUCGUUUUGCUCUGUGCCUCCUCUUGGUUUUACUGGAAGGCUGCAUCUGGGAUUUGAUGCUCCGGUAAACUCAAGUGGAGUUCAGGGAGCUGAGUGCACGGGAGGUGGCAGAAGGGGGUGAGCUUAGUACUGAAAAAAA